GGGGGCGACAUGGUUUCGACGGUGGUGGAUGAAGUAGGAGCAGCGUGUCGAGGUCCCCGGUGGCCUCGUAAAAAACCGGGACAAUUUAACUGCGAACCAAAACUUCGCUCUUGCUGCCUAAUUUAGUGCAGCACGUUUCUGCCGCGACCGCCUGCUAGCGGUCAGGAACGACAACAGCGGGCCUCAAACCGGGAGUUGACGGCGUACCGGCGCGAGUACGCAGUCGUCUAGCGAUGCCGGAAAGCGAGUCUGACGCGUUCCGGAAGGGCGAAUCCUAAAAGAAAGACUACGCACGUAGAUACUCCUGCGGAAACGCUAUCGGACGCGGGUUCGAUUCCCGCCGCCUCCACCA
rnacentral:tmRNA from 2 species